GAGUUUGAUCCUGGCUCAGGACGAACGCUUGCGACGUGCCUAAGAAAUGCAAGUCGAACGGAUGUCGUCCUUCGGGAUGGCAUUAGUGGCGAACGGUCGCGUAACACGUGGGCAACCUGCCCUGAAGCGGGGGACAACAGCUUGAAAGAGCUGCUAAUACCGCAUGUGUCUAUUGAGUGGCAUCACUCGAUAAACAAAGCCGCAAGGCACUUCAGGAUGGGCCCGCGGCCUAUCAGCUAGUUGGUGAGGUAAUGGCUCACCAAGGCUUCGACGGGUAGCUGGUCUGAGAGGACGACCAGCCGGAUUGGGACUGAGAUACGGCCCAGACUCCUACGGGGGGCAGCAAUUAGGAAUCUUGCACAAUGGGCGAAAGCCUGAUGCAGCGACGUCGCGUGAAGGAUGAAAUCUUUCGGGAUGUAAACUUCUUUUUUCGGGGAAGAAACAAAUGACGGUACCCGGAGAAUAAGCCCCGGCUAACUACGUGCCAGCAGCCGCGGUAAUACGUAGGGGGCGAGCGUUGUCCGAAGUUACUGGGCGUAAAGAGCGCGUAGGCGGGUUCUUAAGUGAGGGGUGAAAUUCCGGGGCUCAACCCCGGAACUGCCUUUCAUACUGGGAACCUUGAGUGUGGGAGAGGCGAGUGGAAUGGUCGGGUGUAGCGGUGAAAUGCGUAGAUAUCGAUCGGAACACCCAUGGCGAAAGGCAGCUCGCUGGGCCCAUAACUGACGCUGAGGCGCGAAAGCGUGGGGAGCAAACCAGGAUUAGAUACUCCUGGUAGUCCACGCUCGUAAACGAUGAAUACUAGUGUCAG
rnacentral:rRNA from 1 species